rnacentral:rRNA from 1 species
UGGGGAAUUUUGCGCAAUGGGCGAAAGCCUGACGCAGCAACGCCGCGUGGAGGAUGAAGGUCUUCGGAUCGUAAACUCCUGUCAGUGGGGACGAAUGCUUCGCAAGAAGUUUGACUGUACCCGCUGAGGAAGCCACGGCUAACUCCGUGCCAGCAGCCGCGGUAAUACGGAGGUGGCAAGCGUUGUUCGGAAUUACUGGGCGUAAAGGGCGCGUAGGCGGUUUUGCAAGUCAGAUGUGAAAGCCCCGGGCUUAACUCGGGAAUUGCAUCUGAAACUGCUUAACUUGAGUCCUGGAUGGGGUAGUGGAAUUCCCAGUGUAGCGGUGAAGUGCGUAGAUAUUGGGAGGAACACCUGCGGCGAAGUCGGCUACCUGGACAGUGACUGAUGCUGAGGCGCGAAAGCUAGGGGAGCGAACGG